rnacentral:rRNA from 1 species
GUCUUGGCUGUAAACGGUGCGCAUUUGCUGUAAACGGAAUCGACCCCGUUUGUGGCGAAGCUAACGCGAUAAAUGCGCCGCCUGGGAAGUACGGUCGCAAGAUUAAAACUCAAAGAAAUUGACGGGGCCUGCACAAGCGGUGGAGUAUGUGGCUUAAUUCGAUGCAACGCGAAGAACCUUACCUGGCCUUGACAUGCAUGUGGUAGAACCAUGAAAGUGGGACGAUCCCGCAAGGGAAGCAUGCACAGGUGCUGCAUGGCUGUCGU